GUCUUGGUCGAUUAGUGGUUAAAUCAUCUCGUUGUGGCGCUGACACUACCGAGAAGCCGAGGGCUCGACUCCCUCCCGAGACA